rnacentral:rRNA from 1 species
UACAGAGGUCUCGAGCGUUAGGCGGAAUCACUGGGCUUAAAGCGUGUGUAGGUGGAUCGUUAAGUACCUUGUGAAAUCCCACGGCUUAACCGUGGAACUGCUUGGUAUACUGGCGGCCUUGAGCCAGCUAGGGGCUACCGGAACAAAUGGUGGAGCGGUGAAAUGCGUAGAUAUCGAUAGGAACUCCGGUGGCGAAGGCGGCAUACUGGACCACAUCUGACGCUGAGGCGCGAAAGCCAGGGGAGCAAACGGG